rnacentral:rRNA from 1 species
CCUACGGGGGGCAGCAGUGGGGAAUAUUGGACAAUGGGGGGAACCCUGAUCCAGCCAUGCCGCGUGUGUGAAGAAGGCCCUCGGGUUGUAAAGCACUUUCAGUGAGGAAGAACGCCUGGUGGUUAAUACCCAUCAGGAAAGACAUCACUCACAGAAGAAGCACCGGCUAACUCCGUGCCAGCAGCCGCGGUAAUACGGAGGGUGCGAGCGUUAAUCGGAAUUACUGGGCGUAAAGCGCGCGUAGGUGGCUUGAUAAGCCGGUUGUGAAAGCCCCGGGCUCCAACUGGGAACGGCAUCCGGAACUGUCAAGCUAGAGUGCAGGAGAGGAAGGUAGAAUUCCCGGUGUAGCGGUGAAAUGCGUAGAGAUCGGGAGGAAUACCAGUGGCGAAGGCGGCCUUCUGGACUGACACUGACACUGAGGUGCGAAAGCGUGGGUAGCAAACAGGAUUAGAUACCCUGGUAGUC